rnacentral:lncRNA from 1 species
AUCGUUCCACACAUUUGGCAUCGCGAACUAACUUCUUAAACACAUGAGUGACCCUUUUUACUCGAAGCAUCCAAGUGCAUAAAUGACAACCGAAGUAGAAGUACAUAUAGACUUGUACAGAUUUGUUUCCUUUGUGCACCAGGUUUAGACAAAAGGAAUCGAAAAAAUCAACUUAGCAGCAGCGACUAGUAGAUAUACUUCACGAGGAAAGCAUUUCGGGCGAUAGAGUACAAAUCAAUCCUCAGGCCAACUAGCAUGAACAGAAAGUCAUCUUGAUGACUUCAAGAUAGAUGGAAUACAUAAUGCAUGUUGAAAUGACCACAGAGCCUCCUGCAAGAAUAAACCUAGGGGUUAAUAUGCCAAGUUAGCUACAAUUGACGGUAAUAUAUAUAUAUAUAUAUAUAUAUAUAUAUAUAUAUAUAUAUAUAUAUAUGCAAAAAAUAUAUUCAAAUCAAUGUGAAGCUAGGCUUACCAAUUCCCUUUGUAAACACGGCAAAUGGUACAAUAUAAGUGCCUACAUGGUUUACUGCUAGCAAAUUCCUGGAUCUAACAGUAAUUCAUAUUCAGAAUUUUAUACAUAGUAUAGUCGGAUAUACAACACAUGGAAAUUCAACAAACCAACAGAAAGCCACAUGAAUAUUUGGGAGGGCAUAUGCAUGCUCCGAGACGACAGUUGCACACGUGAGCUCCUAGAAAGACCACAAGUCCAAAUCCUCAUCUAAAAAUACCACAAUCAAUACCAUAAGACCGUAGCGACACUGAAUUGUACUAGGACCAACUGAGCGGUGGCCCCAUCCAUUACACACCGCAUAUAGUUCUUCUACUAAAUUUACACAAACUGACUUCAACUCAUUAUUCCAACAUCACAUUAGUGAAACUGGCGCAUCUAGUUAUCUGGAACCUUUUGGAUGUGGAAGCGAGACGAAGUUCAACUAGAGUACUGGACCAUGUAAGGCCCUUUUCAUUUUUAAUAUCAGAAAUGUUGAUGGUAAGA